rnacentral:lncRNA from 1 species
GAAACUGUUGGAGAUGCUCUCCCCUCCUGUUUGGUAAAAAAAAAGAAAAAUUAACUCCACGAGAAUCCUAGUCAAACUCACCUUUGAAAGUUUGCGUUUGUGAUCGUUUCUUAUAUAAUGAAAACAAAAGAAAUCUCUGGAUAGCACCACAAACAACGGAUCGCGUAGGGAAAACCCACGUCCAGCCGGGGCCGCGUGGGCGCCCAUGGAAGUCCAGACGGCGCAAC